UUGCUAGAAUGUUCAGUCUCAAUGCUGUCUAAUUCUAAAUGGAACGACAAUAUUUAUGAUUGGAAGAAAGAAUACCAUACAUGUGUAACAAAGGUUACAAAUAAUAAAUACAUAUAAUCAGUUGUAAUACAUGUCACAUGUUAAAUACAAAAAUAAUUAUUUCAUUUAUGUACAUCAAAUAAACAACCGAUCUUAUCUAGGUAACUGGGAGACAUUCUUAUAUAUAUGAUUUCAUGAAGUUGUGGGAUGGCGAAAGAUUGCCACCGAUUAACACUAUAAGAGUAUGUAGUCUCUAGCUAUAUAUUGUACACUACAUAGAAAAAUAAUAACUUAUUAUUAUAUUAUCUAUUCCAUGACAGCUCUCAACUUCACUGAGAAUGAAAUUCUUUGCAGACGUUUUGACGAGUCGUGCAAACAAAUGUUUCGACAACAUCCCUGGAGAUCUCCAAUACAUGAUUGAAGAGUUAGACAUAAUGUAACUUAGAUGGUUAUAAUAUUAGAAAUGACUUUACUAUGCAUUCUUAUAUGCAAAACUAUUUUCGAAUUAUAUAUAGACUCAAAUAUAAUUGUAUAAAUUAGACUAUAUAAAAACAAUUUUGUUGUUUUAAGAGACAUUGUUAAGAUAAAGCCGUAACGUUAGCACGGGUAUUAUACUAGUAGACAUUAAUUAUAGUGUCAUCUAAGUAUUUUGCUGAGGCAAGAGAGUUAUUAAAGAGAGAGAAAAAAAAUUAUAGAAAUUGGGUCUAAGUUAUGGCCUGUUUAGAUUUGAAAUUUUUUGGCCUAAAGAGAAAAAUUUAUAUGGAAUUGGAGCCUGAGAACUAAACAGGGUUAAAAAAUUUUGGAGCCAAAAUUUUGGGCUGCAACUGUGCACGCACUUUCAUGGAAUCCCACCAAUGACAACUUGAGCUGCAUGCAGUUGCAGUUGUCAUUAGUGGGCUUCUAUGGAAGUGCACGCACGGUUGCAGCCUAAAAUUUUAGUCCUAAAAUUUUUUAGCCUCGUUUAGUUCUUAGACCCCAAUUCCAUAAAAAAUUUUCUCUUUGGGCUAAAAAAUUUCAAAUCUAAAUAGGUCCUUAGAAACUAUGUAUACACAAAAUCCAAGAUAUAAAGUGAUACGAUUAGCGAAGAAUGGAGAGAGAAUGAAUGUGAUUGAGUAACUAAAAUAUUUUAUAGAAACUAUCCAUUGAGACUAUAGUUUCUAUAUAUAGUGUCUAUAAAAAUUAAUACGUACAGAAACUACAUAUAAUUUCUAGCAUUGGGAGUGCCCUAAGUGAAUGUGAGGAGGAUUAAGAAAAAGAAAACGUAAGAUAGCUAAAAAGAAUAAUUAAACAUUUAUAUAUAUAUACAAAUAAAAUAUAAUUAUUGUAAAAUGUUUGACUUAUAACUAACUACUUUGCUUUAUUUUGGACUUGUUCUAAAAACAUUCCUGGACAUUUUUAAAAAGUAACUACGAAAUCUUGAUUUUUUUUAUAAAAUUGAAACAAAAAGUCUCUAAUAACUUCUUAACUCUCUAUCUUUUCGCACUUAAGAAAACCAAUCAACAAUGGAAAGAUAAGUGCAGACAUACAAUCUGCCAAUUUGGAGAGGGAAGGCGUGCAAAAUAUAAUGAAAAAAGGACAAGGUUUCCAAUACGAAAAUCUCCAAUAACAUCUUAUCUUAACUCUCAAUCUUUUCACGAAAUCGAUCCAAACACACAAAGGUACGUGUGUGUAUCAAAUCGGUCAAUAUGGAGAUGGAAGGACGUGCGAAAGAAUAAGAAAAAAGGCUAUGGGAUUUCCAAUACAAAUAUACAAAAGAAAGAAAAAUAUUAAAAUAAUGGAACUGAUUUGGAAUAUAAAAAGAAAAAAAAUAUAAAAGCAUACAUAAAGCAAAAACAUCUUCCACGGUGUAAUAUUUUUUCUCAUAUCUUUCCAAUCGUUCACCCCUUCUCACCCCGGAUCCUCUUGCCCCACUUUCCUCCUUCCCGCCCACCACACAUAUAGGGCUAGGGCAGCCGCGCAGCGCACUAUGCCAGGAGGUGGCCACCACGGCACCACCAGCCCGUUGGCGUGGAUGCUCCGCACAGCGGCGGCGGCGGCGGCGGCCAUAGCGCCCGCACGUGGAGGUGGCCGCACUGGGGCCAGUCCUCUGCGUCACCACGUCGAGAGAGAGAGAGAGAGAGAGAGGGAGGAGAGGGAGAGGGAGGGAAGGCGCAGGCAGGCAAGGGGAUGGGGGCGCGAGCAGCGUAGUCGACGAGGCGGCGUGGAGAGGAGCAGCCAAGC
rnacentral:lncRNA from 1 species